rnacentral:rRNA from 1 species
GGAUGUGAUCAUACCAGCACUAACGCAACGGAUCCCAUCAGAACUGUGAAGUUAAGUAUGCUUGGGUGAGAGUAGUGCUAGGAUGGGUUACCCUCUAAGAAGUCCUUGUGCAUCCAUCCU